CUCCGCGGGGCACCCGGAGCUCGGCGCUCCGCACCUUGACCGGCGGCACCGGGCGGGUCGGGCCGGGGCGGCUCCGGUACCGGGGGCGGGCGCCGCUCUUUGACCCUCGGGUUGAUCGGGGAGCCCGGUUUUGUCGGGAAAGCCGGAUCCGCGCCGGGAUGCGGACAAAGACACGGAGCAGCUGUUCGGGAAUAAAGCUGAAAUAGUAGAACCUGGGAGAGAAGUUAGCUUGGGGGAGCUAUUAUUUUCUCCGCAAAACCCUCGGGAGGUAUUAAACAGCUGCAUCCAAACGACGGAGCGACCCAAAGGCCGGGAUCCCACCGCCUCGCCGUCGAGCAGCGGGCGCGUGGCUCAGCGCACGGCCGCAGGUUCCUCUGCAAAGGGCACCGUAGCAGAGCGGUUGGGAGCUCUGUGCUGGACAGAGGAUGGACGGCCGCGAGCGGAGCUUCCCACCGGCGAGCAUUGCCAGAAUAAGAGAGAAAACCUGGGCAGCCUUAAAACACUCAAAAGUGUAAUGUGACGCUUCCAAACCUUUGCAGCCUGCGGGCGAAAGUCUGCUCAAGGAGCCUGAAGACGCACCAUCCCCACUUAUCGCCCCAGAGGCAGACUAUCUAGCUGACAAGCUGUGCGAUGAAAAACCAGGUGCCCACGUACCUGCUGCUCACCCAGGGCCCAGAAGGGAUCAGCUGCUCAUUUUGCAGAGCAAAAUUUAGUAACCAAUGAAGAAUGUAAAACAACGGGCUGCGCUAUAGAAUAAACACAAGAUGAGUUUAAAAUCUCUUGAUGUAUGCCACACAUUGGAAAUUUUAUAUAUAGCAUUUCACAACGUCUAUAGAAUUAAAUUUUCAAACAAGAACACCGCCCUCAAUCUGCAUGAAUAGUUACAUCUUCAGCAAGCAAAACUGAUUUAGAGCAUCCCUAUGUUUGUCACACAAGGACUUGUUGGCCGUUGCUGUAUACGCCUAAAAGGACUCUAAAAAUUUUCCGCAACGUGGAUUAUUUCUGUCUCUUUCUACACACUGACCAGUUUUGCAAAAUACUUCAACUAAUUGUAGGCUGAGAACCACGGGGCACUAUGCCAUGUUAAGUGGGAACACCUUCUGUGUCUUCACACUUACUCUGAAACAAAUCAUCUUUCAUGUGUAUGUGAACGCUGACUUUAAAAGUAGCUUUAAAUAUUUUAACUCCUGCCACAGUGUGGGGCUGGUAUGCCUGAUUUACACCGAGGUGGGGGCUUCACUACUGUCAUUAAGUUCACCCCAAAGGAGAAAACCUAAAACUUCAUUUGACUCCGUUUAAAUCCCAGGAGCAGGAAAAUCUUUCUGAUGCACGCUUUCAUGUAAAACUAAAUUGAAAGCUUUGGAUUCCACUCUGUGGCAUCUGUUGAUUUUGCGAGUGGAUAGAACAGACAGAUUUGACCUAAAGUUUGUUUAUAAAAACAUAUGCAAUGAGACCGCGUAAGAGAAAUGCAGGUGCUGGGAAUCCACAAAGAGAUUGCAAAGCCGAGCUUAAUGUUGUAAUCACCUUAUUUUUAAUUACACGUUUUCUCCAAAUUUAAAAAUAUUUCCCCUCUGCCCUGUAUUAUCUUUUUACUGUUCAAUGUGAAAGACUCAUAGAAGCAACAAAGACAAUUGAUUAUCCAGGACAACAGCAUCAUGAGAGCAACCAAGCAUUAUCCAGCAAUCAAAACGAACAAACCAGGACAGCAAUACAGAGUAAUUGUGGACUUCUUUUUUUUCUUUUCAUUUUUCUUCUUUUUUUUUCUUUUCCUUUUUUUCCCUCUUACCUUCUUCCUUUGUUUCUCAUUUAUUGUGUUCCUUCUUAGUUUUGUUUUUCUCUUUAGAUGCUCUCUGUACUGACUGGUAAAUUGUUUCAGACAGAUGUGUUGGAGCUUUUUUAUCUGUCUUUUUAUAUUCUAGUGCUGUCUUUAUAUUUUACUAGACGUGCCCUCACAAUUUAUCACAGUCAUGGUACAAAAAGAGCUCCUGAGCACCUGGCUGUGUUCUUUCGCUGAGCACCCAGUCCCUUGGUGCCAUGCUGAGUGCACACAUCCAAGUGUUGGAGAUACUGUGGGUUGAGUGUUUCUAUAAUAUGCAGGGUCAUGUUUGGGUUGUUUCGUUAUUGCCUCAUUGAAAUGAAUACUGAGGAAUACAUUUUAUUAGGUCCUUUGUGAAGGUUCAGUGAGAAGUGAGUGUCUCAAAGAAGAUUCAUGCACGUUGCGUUCUGUGAAUUAGCAGAAUGGGUAAACAAUGCAGUGAUGUGACACGGUAUGAUACAAUACGCUACAAGAUACAAACUGCUUGGGAUCCCAUCUAUCAUGAUCUUUAUACACCCUCAGCAUCCUCCAAGAGCUGAGCACUUCGGAUCUAUAUGGAAGUACAAGAAGCAUGCCCCGACUCCUGCCCCACUCUUUGCUCCCCUGUUUGUCUCACUUUGCUCUGAUGAGCUCAGAGAAUGGCAGAGAGGCACCAAAGGCACAAUUUAGCCUUUUAUCAAUACAGCAGCAGUGUAAGGUUGUUUGUAAGAUGGCAGGGAUAGACUCUUGCCCAGUGUGUUGACUCAGUAUCGAGCUGUUGUUCUUGACUUGGGGAGACAAGGGAUCCCCGUUCAUGAUGGCUGUUAAUUCAUUUUGUUUAAAAUACUUUAUUUCCCCCUUUGUGCCAAAUAUGCCAAGCAAAUGGUACUUUCCUGGCACAAGAUUUCAUUUGAAAUUGGUCCUAUGUUGAAUGAGCUGGGGCCACUGAGGAGCAGCAAGUGGAUGAAGCAAGACCCUGAAAGGAAAAGGCCAACACUUUAUUCACUGCAGUAAACCCUAAACCCAUGUUUAACGCUAACUGGUUGUAUUUUCUGUUUGUGUUUGCCUUCGUGGUCUGACAUUUGCUCAUGCUGUGAUAGCUUCAUCAAAAUACAUCUUUUAGAAAAAGCAUAUUGCUUGUCACUGUUUCAUUGACACAGAGAACAAUCAUGUUAGAAUAUUAUGAACAAAACAUUGACUUGUAUGGUAUUCCUAACGCAUAUUAAGUUUACUCAAAAUGAUGAGAGCCAGAUACGCCUUUAAUGAAACACUAUUAAUGGCUCUUCCAGCGGGAAUGGUGAGGAAUACCUUGUAAUUACAGCAUACACAUCCAUGUACGGCAUACUUUGUUAUGGAGGCUUAAGUAGGUAAUUGGCAUUGCGGUUCUGGAGUUGUGCACUAUCCCACAUGAUGUCAGCCUCUGCACACUGCCCGUGCUUGUAGUGCUGGCAGUGGGGAUGAGCUCUGGGUCUUGGAGAAACCCAUGCCUUCUGGGGAUGGGGAUGGAAGCAGGGAGUAUCAGUGAUGCUCUUGCUGUGCUACCACGGGCAUGAUGUACAUCUAACCCCAGUAUAUCGAGGGAUUUCUGAGGCUGCAUACCAAGUAUGAAAAGGAAGAAAGGUCUCAGUAAGCAAAGAGCACAACAGGUUUGCAAGCAAGCAUAAGGUGGAGUUGCUACACUGACACUUUCCACACAGACAUUCAUGUGCUGCAGCAGUGCAUAGUGCUGUCGGAGCAUUGAUUAACAGCAGAACUGUACUUAAUGCAACUCAGGUUAACGCAGAGUCUUUCUAUAGGAGCACCUCAACAAGGCUGCUUGCAGGAGGAAGAGAAAGAGAGCGAUCAAUUCACAAAGCUCAUUUAAAACGUCCAAGAAGUGCUGGAACACACGGGUGUCUCUGUGCCUUUCGACGUAUUUACAGACCUGGCUGGUUUAAUGGCAUUCAGCAAUAAAUUCCAUAGCCUUUGGGAGCAAUUGAUAAAGGUUCUGGUAACCGCCUGCACCAAUCUACUUUGGGGAAUGUUAAUAAACGGGUACCCAAGGACUCCUAGGUGUGUGCUGAGGAAUAGAGGGAGCUAAAUGUCAGCUAAUUAAGCAGAGCUGAGACCAUGAAGGAUCUUGUGAGUUAAAAGCUAAAUAUUAAUAUCAGUUUCAAACUUUAUGAAAGCUGGCUUAGUGGCAGAGAAGCAGAAGGGAUAAGUAUCCGGCAUGGCUGUGACAUUUUAUAUUUCUAGUUAACCUCACAGCCGCAUUCAAAACCGGCUGAAGUUUUCUUAAAGCAAAUUCUGGAGGAGCAACCAGUGAGGAAUUGUAAUAACCCUCAAGGUGGCACAGAUGUUAAUGAAUGAGGAAAGAAAAGAUUCCAAUAUGGCAACAUUUCUCAAACAAUAAAAAUAG